rnacentral:rRNA from 1 species
UACGGAGGGGGCUAGCGUUGUUCGGAAUUACUGGGCGUAAAGCGCGCGUAGGCGGCUUUGUAAGUUAGAGGUGAAAGCCCGGAGCUCAACUCCGGAAUUGCCUUUAAGACUGCAUCGCUUGAACGUCGGAGAGGUGAGUGGAAUUCCGAGUGUAGAGGUGAAAUUCGUAGAUAUUCGGAAGAACACCAGUGGCGAAGGCGGCUCACUGGACGACUGUUGACGCUGAGGUGCGAAAGCGUGGGGAGCAAACAGG